rnacentral:tRNA from 1 species
GGGCGAGUGGCGAAAUCGGUAGACGCACUACACUCAAAAUGUAGCGACCUCGGUCAUGUCAGUUCGAGUCUGACCUCGCCCA